AGACUUCAGCUCCAUGCUGGCUGAGGAAUUCUGGGAGUUGAAGUCCACGAGUCUUAAAGUGGCCAAUGUUGGAGACCCCUAAUCUA